CGGGGGAUGGCUCAGUGGAAGAGCGCGGGUCGUAAUUUUGGCGUCCGUCCGCAGAGGCCCUACACGCCCUGGGUGCCCGAGGUCGCCGGUUCGAAUCCGGCUCUCCCGA
rnacentral:tRNA from 1 species